GUGGCCUAGUGGUUUGAGCAUCUGCUUUGGAUGCAGGAGAUUGUGGGUUCAAUCCGUACAGAGUUAUAACA